GAGUUUUUAACUCUAGUGGCGGACGGGUGAGUAACACGUAAGAAUUUGCCUUUAGGAGGGGGAUAACAUCGUCAGAAAUGAUUCGAGAAAUUGAUGCUAAUACCCCAUAUGCUUUCGAGUGAAAUGGAGUUUUCCGCCUAAAGAGAAGCUUGCGGCUGAUUAGCUUGUUGGUGAGGUAAUGGCUUACCAAGGCGACGAUCAGUAUCUGGUUUGAGAGGAUGAUCAGACACACUGGAACUGAGACACGGUCCAGACUCCUACGGGAGGCAGCAGUGGGGAAUUUUCCGCAAUGGGCGAAAGCCUGACGGAGCAAUCUCGCGUGAGGGAUGACUGCCUAUGGGUUGUAAACCUCUUUUUUCAGGGAGGAAUAAAUGACGUUACCUGAAGAAU
rnacentral:rRNA from 1 species